GGGGUUAGCUGUCUCUUGUAUAGCUUUUGAAGUUUACUUUUAAGUGAAAAGGCUUAAAUGAUCUUGGGGGACGAUAAGACCCUAUAAAACUUUACAGUUUCACUUUUGCUUUUGUGAAUUAAGGUUUAAAAUUAGACAUGAGUGGUCUGUUGUGUUGGGGCGACAAAGAUAAAACAAGUAACUGUCAGGAAAAAAAAAUAAAAAUAAUUAUAGUAGUUGAUCCUUUGGUUUAGAGAUUAAAAGAUUAAGUUACUUUAGGGAUAACAGCGUAAUUCUCUUUGAGAGUUCUUAUCGACAAGAGUAGUUGCGACCUCGAUGUUGAAUUAAGGGUUCUUUCAGGUGUAGCAG
rnacentral:rRNA from 1 species